UUAAGUCAGAUGUGAAAUCCCCGGGCUCAACCUGGGAACUGCAUCUGAUACUGGCAAGCUUGAGUCUCGUAGAGGGGGGUAGAAUUCCAGGUGUAGCGGUGAAAUGCGUAGAGAUCUGGAGGAAUACCGGUGGCGAAGGCGGCCCCCUGGACGAAGACUGACGCUCAGGUGCGAAAGCGUGGGGAGCAAACAGGAUUAGAUACCCUGGUAGUCCACGCCGUAAACGAUGUCGACUUGGAGGUUGUGCCCUUGAGGCGUGGCUUCCGGAGCUAACGCGUUAAGUCGACCGCCUGGGGAGUACGGCCGCAAGGUUAAAACUCAAAUGAAUUGACGGGGGCCCGCACAAGCGGUGGAGCAUGUGGUUUAAUUCGAUGCAACGCGAAGAACCUUACCUGGUCUUGACAUCCACGGAAGUUUUCAGAGAUGAGAAUGUGCCUUCGGGAACCGUGAGACAGGUGCUGCAUGGCUGUCGUCAGCUCGUGUUGUGAAAUGUUGGGUUAAGUCCCGCAACGAGCGCAACCCUUAUCCUUUGUUGCCAGCGGUCCGGCCGGGAACUCAAAGGAGACUGCCAGUGAUAAACUGGAGGAAGGUGGGGAUGACGUCAAGUCAUCAUGGCCCUUACGACCAGGGCUACACACGUGCUACAAUGGCGCAUACAAAGAGAAGCGACCUCGCGAGAGCAAGCGGACCUCAUAAAGUGCGUCGUAGUCCGGAUUGGAGUCUGCAACUCGACUCCAUGAAGUCGGAAUCGCUAGUAAUCGUGGAUCAGAAUGCCACGGUGAAUACGUUCCCGGGCCUUGUACACACCGCCCGUCACACCAUGGGAGUGGGUUGCAAAAGAAGUAGGUAGCUUAACCUUCGGGAGGGCGCUUACCACUUUGUGAUUCAUGACUGGGGUGAAGUCGUAACAAGGUAACCGUAGGGGAACCUGCGGUUGGAUCACCUCCUUACCUUAAAGAAGC
rnacentral:rRNA from 1 species